UACGAAGGGGGCUAGCGUUGUUCGGAAUUACUGGGCGUAAAGCGCGCGCAGGCGGUCUUCCAAGUCAGUGGUGAAAGCCCGGAGCUCAACUCCGGAACUGCCAUUGAAACUGUUAGACUUGAGGACGAGAGAGGUGAGUGGAAUUCCCAGUGUAGAGGUGAAAUUCGUAGAUAUUGGGAAGAACACCGGUGGCGAAGGCGGCUCACUGGCUCGUAUCUGACGCUCAGGCGCGACAGCGUGGGGAGCAAACUGG
rnacentral:rRNA from 1 species